AACGCACCUUGCACCCUUUGGUAUUCCGAAGGGUACACCCGUUUGAGUGUCAUUGUAAUCUCACUUCGACGACUUUAUUGUUGUUUGAAUGUGGACUUGGACGUCUGCCGUGUAACAAUGGCUCGUCUUAAAUGCCUGAGUGUACCCCGCUUUGCGGCGUAUUCGGUGUGAUAAACAUUUCACCGGAGUUUGGUCUUUAGUGACCGCGCUUUUAGCAAUUGGUGGGCUCUAUGCUUUCGAACCGUCUGCCUCUGUGGACAAUCUCUUGACAAUUUGACCUCAAAUCGGGUGGGACUACCCGCUGAACUUAA
rnacentral:misc_RNA from 1 species